rnacentral:rRNA from 1 species
AAUUAUUUUGUUGCUAUUUAAUCUAGUUUCUCUCGGAAAGACAAACUAGAUGAUAUCCGAAAGGAUAAUAUUUUAUCGUAAGGUUAAAUACUAAGAAAGAAACGUCUAAUUUUUUUAGUAAUGGUGAUUGAAAAAUUUGUAGGUUAUUGCGUGCAAGUACUGUGAAGGAAAUAAUUUUAAUUUUAAGUUAGUAGAGAUUUGGUCUUGUACCUUUUGUAUUAUGGUUCUUCUAGGUGUAAAUUUGUUAAUCAAAUGUUCCCGAAAAAGGCUGAGCUAUUUCUUAGCACAUGAUUACAUCAACGUAGCAAAGUUGUGUAUAGACUAUGGAAUAGGGGUGAAAUGCUUUACGAAGUCUUUGAUUGCUGGUUAAUUAGGAAAUGCAUUAAAGUGCAGGCAAGUUGGAAAUUGGUAUUUUAAUCCAUUGAUUUAUUUUGUUUGGGCUAAAAACGAAAAUUUUGCUGACACAAGAAAGGAUAAGCUUUCUUGUGAUGCUAAGAGAAAAAUUUAUAGGGAUGUAUAAUAAUUCAGUGGGCUUAGAAUUGGCCAUCUGGUAUCGUGAGCUUGUUACAAAUCAGUUUUAGAAAAAUUGUUCUCAAAAAUCUUUAUUUUUUUUCUCUAAUUUUAGUUAAGUAGAGUACUAAUUUAUUUGGUUUGAUUAAAAAAACCAAUUUAUUUCUGGUGAAAUGAGUAUUUAUGUAUAUUAAGUAUUAAGCAUUUAAGUUUAAAUGAAAUUGAAGGAUUUAAUUAAAUGACUAGUAUUUAAAAUUUAGUUUUGGUGCUGGGCUUAAAUAGCUAGCUCCAAAUUGAUAUAGUAUUAAUUUAAAAAAAGGAACUCGGCAAAUACGGCUUCGCCUGUUUAUCAAAAACAUCGCUCUCUGAUAUAAAGCUUAUUUAAGAAUAUAGAGAGUCGGGCCUGCCCAGUGACAUUAGAUGUUAAACGGCCGCGGUACCCUGACCGUGCAAAGGUAGCAUAAUCACUUGCCUUUUGAUUGAGGGCUGGUAUGAAUGGCUUGACGAGAGCUGGACUGUCUCUUUUUAAAUUUAUAAAAAUUAACUUUUAGGUGAAGAGGCCUAAAUUCAACUGAGUGACGAAAAGACCCUAUUGAGCUUUAGUUAAUUAACAAAAUUUUAACAUUAGUUUUUUCGCACUUGGAUCUGCAUAUAUGUUUUGUUAAAAAUCUUUAGUUGGGGUGACUUAGGAGUAAAAAAAACUUCCUUUAAUUACUUAAGUAUGCAAGGUAUUCAUACUGAUUUUAUAGAUCCAGUAUUUACUGAUCAAAGGAAAAAGUUACCAUAGGGAUAACAGCGUUAUCUUUCUGGAGAGUUCUUAUUGAAGGAAAGGUUUACGACCUCGAUGUUGGACUAAGAUAUCCUAGAGGUGCAGAAGCUUCUGAUGGUUAGUCUGUUCGACUAUUAAAAUCUUACAUGAUCUGAGUUCAGACCGGCGUGAGCCAGGUUGGUUUCUAUCUUCAGUUGAUUUAUGAAUUAAAUUUUUAGUUAGUACGAAAGGACCGCUGUUAAAAUAAAUAAUUUGUAAAUAAAGAAUUCAUUUUAAGAUUAACUAUUAAAUUUUACUAGAAUAAAACA